rnacentral:rRNA from 1 species
UAGGGAAUCUUCCGCAAUGGACGCAAGUCUGACGGAGCAACGCCGCGUGAGUGAAGAAGGAUUUCGGUUCGUAAAACUCUGUUGUUAGAGAAGAACAGCGCAUAGAGUAACUGUUAUGCGUGUGACGGUAUCUAACCAGAAAGCCACGGCUAACUACGUGCCAGCAGCCGCGGUAAUACGUAGGUGGCAAGCGUUGUCCGGAUUUAUUGGGCGUAAAGCGAGCGCAGGCGGUCAAUUAAGUCUGAUGUGAAAGCCCCCGGCUCAACCGGGGAGGGUCAGUGGAAACUGGUUGACUUGAGGGCAGAAGAGGAGAGUGGAAUUCCAUGUGUAGCGGUGAAAUGCGUAGAUAUAUGGAGGAACACCAGGGGCGAAGGCGACUCUCUGGUCUGUAACUGACGCUGAGGCUCGAAAGCGUGGGUAGCAAACAGG